ACUUCGUAGUCGUAGUCACAUUUAUUUUUGAUAUUCAUUAUAACCAUGCCUCUUGAAUUUCCUUCAGUACUUUCUCGUUUUGAUCCACUUUUUUAGUGAGGGAUCGUACUUGAUUUCUUUGAAGCCUUCUGUUACCGGGGCAUCAUCUUCAGAACAAGGCUUAGACCGACGCCUUUUACGUUUUCUACGAACCUGUGACGCCCAACAUCACCCAUUACUAGCGUCAGAAUCCAACCUAUCAAGAGGCUGCCUUGAAGUCGUGCUGCCCUACUAGGAGAACAUAAGAAAGAUGACUUUGAUGUUGAUGAUAUAUCCUUCUUUGAGGGUGAAACUGAUGAGACACCACCACCACCACUAGUGAACUUUGAUACAGAGGAAGAUGGACGAGGAUGGAUGGGUUUCCAGUAUAUCUGCUGCGGAGGAUAGAUCCUUAGAAUCGAUGCUUCAAAUGAGAUCGAAGUUUGGGAAGAAGAUGAAGCAGAGGAGUUCGAAGAUCUUUUCACAAUUGUCGAACCAUCUCAUGAAACACACUCGGUGGUACUUUGGGUUUGUUAUUAUGGUACUGCCUUUAUGGUACUGAAGCAUUACAUCCCAGACGUUGCCAUUUCUCUUCUAUUGUUCAGAGUUCUUUCCAAAACAGCACAGCACCUCAACUCUCUGUUAUUUCGAAACUUACUAUAUACAAACUCAUAUACAAACUCCAUCAGCUAGUUUCAUCUUACGAAAACUUUAAAAUAUGUUGCUUGUGAAAAAUGUUAUACCAUAUACAAACAUUCGGAGUGUGUCACAGUGGUUGGUAUAACGGAAAUGCCAAAAUUAUGUUGUCAUAGAAAUUGCCUAUUAAAGCGCGUUGAGUUUGGAAAUAGACAAAUACUUUAUCCUCUUAAGAUAUAUUGCUAUGCCCCACUUACGAGUAACCACUGGAGACACUCAAAUACUGGAGACACUCAAAUACACGUAAGCCCGGGGUCUACAAUGGUAUAUAUGAUGGGAGAAUAUGGAAUGAGUUCAAGACAUUCAACGGAAACCUUUUCUUACCGAACCUUAUACCUAUGGACUUAUGAUGAACAUAGAUUGGUUUAAACCAUCGUUGAAUACAGACAGCAUUGGUGCUAUUUAUCUAACAAUAAUGAACUUCCCGUGAUGUGCGUUUUAGACGAGAAAAUGUGUUAUUCAUUGGCCUCAUGCCAGGUCCCCGUGAGCCAAAGCAUGAUAUCAAUUCACAGCUAGUUGCUUCAGCUUUGGAAUGGUUGGAAUGGAGUACACAUUAGACUUUUGAACGACCUGUGCUUGUAAGGUGUGCAUUCUUGUAAGGUGUGCAUCACAUGUCGUCACGAAAGGUGUGCGGUUUCUUGGGGCACUCUGCUGAAUUAGGUUGCUCUGAAAAGGAAACAGAAAUUAUUCAGGUUUUGACAUGGUAUUCCGAAACAAAUGCUCAGCAUAGAAGCGAUGUAGAAUGUAUCAAAACACUACAACAGUUAAACGGCAACAAGAACUGGAGGGGUGUAGAUACUCCGUGCUCCUAGACCUUCCGUACUUUGAUCCUGUGCGGAUGACAAUAAUCGAUCCGAUGCAUAAUUUAUAUCUUGGCACUGCUAAGCAUAAUAAUAUUAAAGAAUGCUUGGAUGAAACAUGUUGACGCUAAUCUUGUGAAAAUACAAGGUCUUGUUGAUGACAUGUGCUUACCUGGUAGAAUUCCAUACAAAAUAGCGUUCACAGCAGAUCAAUUUAAAAGUUGGACAUGCUUUUUCUCUCUCAUUUGCCUCAAAGAUGUCCUACCAAUUGUGCUUUGUGUUAGCCUCUAGAAUUUAGAAUUCUAUGUCAGGUGAAUUUGACAGCUUCCGAAAUAGAUUUAGCCUACUCUUAAAAUUCUGUCACCAGGUAGAGCGUUUGUAUGGAUGUAAUUUUAUCACACCCCUUCAUUGUCAUCUAAAAGACUGCUGUACAUAAUUUCUGGCUGUUUACCUAUGACGCAUUUUCCGACCAAUCACCAUUCCAUUGAAAAUCAACUAAUGAAGAGAUUUUUGAGAGAGUUUAAUUUGACAUUGCCAUCACACUUGCCAUCAACACACAACAUACAACAUACAACAUCGAAGAAUUUGAUGAGUUGCUCAAAAACAAAUUUGAACCACAUCUGGAAGGUUCGCUCAAGACCACAUUACAUGGAAGGUAUAUAGAGCAAAUGGAUUUGUGUACUUUACAAGUACUCUUUCGAUUGCGUCUCAAUUUCGUCUGCCCUCUGUUUAUGUCCUCUUCUAUUUCACAGUUAACAACAGUAUACUCACAGCUAGCUUUAAAUGAUGAUUGUUUGAAUGUUACCUAUAGAUCCUUGAAUUCGCUUUAAUAGCUGCAAAAGGCCUAUUGUAUUCGCAAGAGAUAGAACAACAAUGGCACUUAUCCUGGAGUAUUUCAUUCUGCAUACCUUGAAUGAAGCGCGAGAACAUUUGUUUGCAGCCGUAAUCUGGCUAAAGGAACAUCAUGCUAAGCAUACUGCUUAUGGCCAUUAUAUGCUUAUGGCCAUUAUAUGCCAAUCAGUGAACUGUGAAGUCAAGUAUGAACUGCAAAGUGUGUGUGCUGUAGUCCCUGACUACAAUGUACGUAAUUUCUAGAGUGCAUGACAUACGUUCAGUGUUCAUGUGCGCGGCCGCGGCAUCAAGUUUAUUUUGUUGCCAAACCCUGGAUGCCUACGCGCUAGCAUGGCUAUAGCUUAAUUAAUGUAAAAGAUCAUUAAUUUUGACAUUUCAGGACUGCUGAAACCUAGCAGCCACUACACAUUUCCUCAUCUACAGUACUACAGUAAAUCUAAGGGACAUUUUAGGAACUCCUGAAACCUAGCAGCCACUACACAUUUCCUAUUGUAAAGUGAUAUUAAAGGGUCACUUGACAUUUCAGGUUGGCUGAAAGCUGGAAGCCACUACACAUUUCCCAUUUCCUGGCUGACUGAAAUAUGGACAGUCAACUAACAUUUACUUUAACUGAAAUUUCAAACCACAUGUCACUGCACAUGAAAUCUCGUUUUUGUACUACCAUGGAACAGUAGGAACAGUGGAACCGUGGAACCAUCUCUGGGCAGUUAAGGCCUGGGUCAGGCACUGAUAAGAUUAAUUUUAUUCAUUGCCUACAUUUUAUGUAGAUCAUGUAGAUCAUGUAGUGUUAAUGAGAUUCAUAAUGUUUAUUAAUGUUAUUCAUUGCACAUGACGUCAUAAGUUCAAUGUAUUUGCUUAGCUAGCUGCUAGAACUAUUAUAGAUUAUCUUUGGCAACAAAUACGGCGGACUUAAUCAAGUGGGAACAAUGGCGAUCAAAAACUGGCACUGAUUUAUCUGAUGUUAUGGACGGGAGAGAUGGACGGGAGAGAAGGACUGUCUCAGCCUUGUUUAGUUGGGGUUACACGUUUAAACGUUAAACGUGAAAAUAUGAUAACCCGCCCUCAUGAAAUCAUUAACAGAGCCAUUGGUUAAUGAAUUGAUGGCAGCUGCCUAUUCGUUGUGCAUUGCUUUGUGUGUCAUGUGAUUUGCCAGCUGGACGAAAUUGUAUUUAAGUCUUACAAUGGAUCCUUUCCUGGGACUCAGGUUUUGAUCGUGUUCACUAGAUUCCUCGAACAUAUGAACUAAGUGCUUCUAAAAUGCAAAAUGCUUUCCUGUUACACUAAAGCGGGUUAUCGAUACACUCGAUACACCCUUCUGUUAAAACUCCAUCCAUCAAGGACGCUUGUGAUUGUUGUGAUUGAUCUGAUGCAUGUUUUCGGUUUCAGUACCCUAUAUCUACAUAAUUAUUUGCAUAUUUGCAUGUAUGUCCUUUCAAUUUUGGUGCUUGUGAAAAUUCCUUGCAUUGACUAGCUGUUAGAGUAUAACUCAUAAAAAAAU